GUUAGCUAGUAUUUUGCUAAAGAUUUUAGAGUCUAUGUUCAUCAGGGAUAUUGGUCUGUAGUUUUCUUUUUUGGUUAUGUCCUUUCCUGGUUUUGGUAUUAGGGUGAUACUGGCUUCAUAGAAUGAAAGAGAGGGUUGCCUCUCUCUCUGUCUUGUGGAAUAGUGUCGAAAAGAUUGGUACCAAUUCUUCUUUGAAUGUGGUAGAAUUCUGCUGUGAAUCCAUCUGGUCCUGGGCUUUUUUUGUUGGUUAUUUUUUAUUUACUAUUUCAAUCUUACUGCUUAUUAUUGGUCUGUUCAGAGUAUCUAAUUCCUCCUGAUUUAAGCUAAGAUGGUUGUAUUUUUCCAGGAAGUUAUCCAUCUCUUCUAGGUUUUCUAGUUGAUGUGCAUAGAAGUGUUCAUAGUAGCCUCAAAUAAUCUUUUGUAUUUCAGUGGUGUCAGUUGUAAUAUGUUCUGUUUCAUUUUUUAAUGAGGUUAUUUGGAUUUUCUCUCUUUUUUCUUGGUUAAUCUUGCUAAUGGUCUGUCAAUUUUAUUUAUCUUUUCAAAGAACCAGCUUUUGUUUCAUGUAUUUUCUGUGUUUUUUUGUUUGUUUGUUUCAAUUUCAUUUAGUUCUGCUUUGAUCUUGAUUAUUUCUUUUCUUCUGCUUGGUUUGGGUUUGGUUUAUUCUUGUUUCUCUACUUCCUUGAGAUUUGACCUUGGAAUGUCAGUUUGCGCUCUUUCAGUCUUUUUGAUGUAGACAUUUAGGGCUAUGAACUUUCCUCUUAGCACAGCCUUCGCUUUAUCCCAGAGGUUUUGAUAGGUUGUGUCAUUAUUGUCAUUCAGUUUGAAGAAUUUUUUAAUUUCAGUCUUGAUUUCAUUUUUGACCCAAUGCUCAUCUGGGAGCAGGUUACUUAAUGUCUGUAUAUUUGCGUGGCUUCAAAGCUUCCUUUUGGAGUUGACUUCCAGUUUCAUUCCACUGUGAUCUCAGAGAGUACUUGAUAUAAUUUCAAUUUUCUUAAAUUUAUUGAGGCUCAUUUUAUGGCCUAUCAUGUGGUCUAUCUUGGAGAAAAUUCCAUGCACUGUUGAAUAGAGGGUGGAUUCUGCAGUUGUUGGAUGAAAUGUUCUGUAUAUAUCUGUUAAGUCCAUUUAUUCCAAGGUAUAGUUUAAAUCCAUUGUUCUUUUGUUGACUUUCUGUCUUGAUGACCUGUCUAGUACUGUCAGAGGAGUAUUAAAGUCCCCCACUAUUAUUGUGUUGCUGUCUAUCUCAUUUCUUAGAUAUAUUAGUAAUUGUUUUACAAAUUUGGGAGCUCCAGUGUUAGGUAGAUAUAUGUUUAGGAUUGUGAUAUUUUCUUGUUAAACAAGGCCUUUUACCAUUGUAUAAUGUCUCUCUUUGUCUCUUUUAACUGCUGUUGCUUUAAAGUUUGCUUUGUCUGAUAUAAGAAUAGGUAACCCUGCCCACUUUUGGUGUCCAUUUGCAUUAAAGGUCUUUUUCCACCCCUUUAAGUUUAUGUGAGUCCUUACAUGUUAGGUGAGUCUCUUGAAGGCAGAAGAUUGUUGGUUGCUGAGUUCUUAUGCAUUCUGCAGCUCUAUAUCUUUUAAGUGGGGUAUUUAGGCCAUUUACAUUUAAUGUUAGUAUUGAGAUGUGGGGUACCAUUGCAUUCAUUGUGCUAUUUGUUGCCUGUGUACUUUGGUUUUUUUGUUUUUGUUUUUGCUUUUUAAAAUGUAUUUUUGUAUCACAGGUCCUGUGUGAUCUAUGUUUUAAAUAGGUUCUGUUUUGAUGUGUUUUCAGAAUUUGUUUCAAGAUUUAGAGCUCCUUUUAGCAGUUCUUAUAGUGCUGCCUUGGUAGUGGUGAAUUCUCUCAGCAUUUGUUUAUCUGAAAAAGACUGUAUCUUUCCUUCAUAUAUGAUGCUUAAUAUCACUAGAUAUAAAAUUCUUGGCUGAAAAUUGUUUUGUUUGAGAAGGCUGAAGAUAGGGCCCCAAUCCCUUCUGGCUGGUAGAUUUCUCUGCUGAGAAAUCUGCUGUUAAUCUAAUAAGUUUGCCUGUAUAGGUUACCUGGUGGUUUUGUGUCACAGCUCUUAAAAUUCUUUUCUUUGUCUUAACUUUAGAUAACCUGAUGACAAUGUGCCUAAGUCAUUAUCUUUUUGCAAUGAAUUUCCCAGGUGUUCUUUGUGCUUCUUGUAUUUGGAUGUCUAGGUCUCUAGCAAGACUGGGGAAGAUUUCCUUGAUUAUUCCCGCAAGUUUGGAAAUGUUACCUGGUGCUUUCCAAACUUUCAGAUUUCUCUUCUUCCUCGGGAGCACCGAUUAUCCUUAGGUUUGGUCGUUUAACAUAAUCCCAAACUUCUUGGAGGCUUUGUUCAUAUUUUCUUUGUUUUUGUUGGAUUGGGUUAAUUUGAAGAUCUUGUCUUCAAACUCUAAAUUUCUUUCUUCUACUUGUUCAAUUCUAUUGUAAGACUUUCCAGAGCAUUUUGUAUUUCUGUCAGUAUUUCUAUCAGUGUGUUCAAUGUUUCCUGAAGUUUUGAUUGCUGUUGUUCAGAUUCUUUUGUCCCACACUGUGUUCCCUUGAUGUAGUACUCUCCCCCUUUUCCUAUGGAUGUGGCUUCCUGUGAGCCACGUUGCAGUGAUUGUUAUUUUUCUUCUGAGUCUAGCCACCCAGCAAGUCUGCCCGGCUCCAGGCUGGUACGGGGGUUUGUCUGCACAGAGUCAGGUGAUGUGAACCCUCUGUGGGUCUCUCAGCCAUGGAUACCAGCACCCGUUUUGGUGGAGGCGGCAGGGGACUGAAAUGAACUCUGUGAGGGUUUUUAGCUUUGGUGGUUUAACGUUCUAUUUUUGUAUUGGUUGGCCUCCUGCCGGGAGGUGGCGCUUCCCAGAGAGCAUCAGCUGUGGUAGUAUGGAAAGGAACUGGUGGUGGUGGGGUUUCAGAACUCCCAAGAGUAUAUGUUAUUAGUUUUCCGCUAUCAGGGUGGACAGGGAAGGCCCAUCGAGGGGCAGGGCUGGGGGUGUCUGAGCUCUGACUUUCUUUGGGUGGGCCUUGCUAUGGCUGCUGUGGGGGAUGGGAGUGAGGUUCCCAUGUCAAUGGAGUUAUGUACCUAGGAGGAUUAUGGCUGCCUCUACUGAGUCAUGCAGGUUGUCAGGAAAGUAGGGGAAAGCCAGCAGUCACAGGCCUCACCCAGCUCCCAAACAAUCUGAAGGGCCAUUCUCAUUCCCACCAUGCCCCUGCUAACAGCCCUGAGUCUGUUUCCAGGCAGUGGGCGAGCAGGUCUUGGGAACUUGCCCCAGGUUACUCACCUCCCAACUGCGAAAGAAUAGGGCUUUGGUUCUUCCCCUACCUGUGGAGUCGGCACACUGGAUUCGCACCCUUCCCCAAGUUCUGGCCAGC
rnacentral:lncRNA from 10 species